AACGAACGCUGGCGGCAGGCUUAACACAUGCAAGUCGAACGCAUCGCAAGAUGAGUGGCAGACGGGUGAGUAACGCGUGGGAACAUACCCUUUUCUACGGAAUAGCUCUGGGAAACUGGAAUUAAUACCGUAUACGCCCUACGGGGGAAAGAUUUAUCGGGGAAGGAUUGGCCCGCGUUGGAUUAGCUAGUUGGUGGGGUAAAGGCCUACCAAGGCGACGAUCCAUAGCUGGUCUGAGGGGAUGAUCAGCCACAUUGGGACUGAGACACGGCCCAAACUCCUAAGGGAGGCAGCAGUGGGGAAUAUUGGACAAUGGGCGGAAGCCUGAUCCAGCCAUGCCGCGUGAGUGAUGAAGGCCUUAGGGUUGUAAAGCUCUUCCACCGAUGAAGAUAAUGACGGUAGUCGGAGAAGAAGCCCCGGCUAACUUCGUGCCAGCCGCCGCAGUAA
rnacentral:rRNA from 1 species